rnacentral:rRNA from 1 species
UCAGGCGAUUGAUAGCGUCGGGGAUCCACCUCUUCCCAUCCCGAACAGAGAAGUUAAGCCCGACAGCGCCGAUGGUACUGCAUUUAGUUGUGGGAGAGUAGGUCAUCGCCACUU